UACGUAGGGGGCGAGCGUUGUCCGGAUUUAUUGGGCGUAAAGAGCGUGUAGGCGGCCAGGUAGGUCAGCUGUGAAAACUCGAGGCUCAACCUCGAGAUGUCGGCUGAAACCAUCUGGCUAGAGUCCGGAAGAGGAGAAUGGAAUUCCCGGUGUAGCGGUGAAAUGCGCAGAUAUCGGGAAGAACACCCGUGGCGAAGGCGGUUCUCUGGCUCGACCCUGACGCUGAGAGGCGAAAGCGUGGGGAGCGAACGGG
rnacentral:rRNA from 1 species